CAGUAACGGCGAGUGAAGCGGGACUAGCUCAGGAUGUGAAUCUGCGCUUUUAUGGCGCCGAAUUGUGGUCUGUAGACUUUGACAUUAUUUGCCGGGCCAAGUUCCUUGGAAAAGGACAGCUGAGAGGGUGACACUCCCGUCCGCCUGGUAAAGUGAGUCAUUUGUCAACGAGUCGAGUUGUUUGGGAUUGCAGCUCUAAUUUGGUGGUAAAUUCCAUCUAAAGCUAAAUAUUGGUGGGAGACCGAUAGCGUACAAGUACCGUGAGGGAAAGAUGCAAAGAACUUUGAAAAGAGAGUUAAAGAGUACCUGAAACUGCUGAAACGGAAGCGAAGGAAACCAGUGUUUGUUUGUUCAUAUUUCCCUGGCCACUUGUGGUCUGGGCGCUGUGGACUUGCGUGAGUUUGGGUUGGUUGAUCCCUUUGGAAGAGCGCAGUCAGAGUUGAUGUCUGUUGCUAGCACUGGGUUUGACUGAUGCAGACGAAAUGGUUUUCUUUACCCCGUCUUGAAACACGGACCAAGGAGUCUAACAUAUGUGCGAGUACAGGGGUGUCAAACCCCCGUGCGCAAUGAAAGUGACAGUGGUUGGAAUUUUUGCACAAUCCGCCGGCCUCAAUCCCUCGGGAGAACGGUCUGAGUGUGAGCAUACAUGUUGGGACCCGAAAGAUGGUGAACUAUGCCUGAAUAGGG
rnacentral:rRNA from 1 species